UUCCAGGCUGGUCCCGUCUCGCAGGAGAAGAAAGUCAAAGACGAUGUGGAAAGCAUCGAAGGCUUCAAGGAACGUCACAAAAUCAGGCACUCGAAAAGGCUUUCUGGGUGUAUCCAGAAAAACUACUCGGAAGAGGAGAAUUCCCGGCAGCAGGAAAACUCCGAGGUCACAAAUGGCUGUGACUACCGAACAGCAAGAAGGACGGCAGAAUACCAGGACGGAAAAGGCUUUGGAAUCGGGGA